ACCCGCACACAGACGGUUGGCAGAGGAAGAAAGCCUUGUCACACUAAAGGAGAGACAGCGGAUGUUCUGAACAGUCCUGUCGUGAAACGUUAGACAACGUGGACGAAACAGGCACAUUCCUAAGCAUCACACAUUACUGAAACUCAGUCAAGAAGAAAUAGAAAAUCUGAAUACAUCCAUGGCAAGCACAGAAACUGAACUAGGGGAUUCGAAAUCUUCCCACAAAGAAAAGCCUAGGCCCAACUGGCCUCUAUGCUUUGAAGAUGCAAGUGGGGACCAUGAGCCAAGCAGUGUGACAGGCUCUAAGAAGCUGGGAAUGUCUGUCAGCUGACAGUCAAUAAGAAUUUGAGGACCUUCUUCUUGCACCCACAGUAAAUUCAUUUCUGCCAACAAACUGAAUGAGAUUGUCCCCUAGAGCCUCCAGAAAGGAACACAGCUUACUGUCAUGUUUAUUUUAGUUUGGUGAAACCCAACCCAGACUUUCCAUCUAUGGACCUAUAAUUAAAAUAGUUUGGGGGCAUUCUUAGUCCACAAAUUUAGUCCAAAUUUAAUAACAAAUUUGUGUUACUUUA
rnacentral:lncRNA from 1 species